rnacentral:rRNA from 1 species
AUUGAACGCUGGCGGCAGGCUUUACACAUGCAAGUCGAACGAGCGGCGUACGGGUGAGUAAUGUCUGGGAAACUUCCUGAUGGAGGGGGAUAACUACUGGACACGGUAGCUAAUACCGCAUACCAUCAGAUGUGCCCAGAUGGGAUUAGCUCGUAGGGGGGGUAAUGGCUCACCUCGGCGACGAUCCCUAGCUGGUCUGAGAGGAUGACAAGCCAAACUGGAACUGAGACACGGACAAGAAGCCUACGGGAGGCAGCAGGGGGGAAUAUUGCACAAUGGGCGCAAGCCUGAUGCAGCCAUGCCGCGUGUGUGAAGAAGGCCUUCGGGUUGUAAAGCACUUUUGGCAAGGAAGCGUUACUCGAAGAAGAAGCACCGGCUAACUACGUGCCAGCAGCCGCGGUAAUAC